rnacentral:misc_RNA from 1 species
GAUGAAGAACGUAGUGAAAUGCGAUAAGUAAUGUGAAUUGCAGAAUUCAGUGAAUCAUCGAAUCUUUGAACGCACAUUGCGCCCGGUAGUAUUCUGCCGGGCAUGCCUGUUCGAGCGUCAUUUCAACCAUCAAGCCCCAGCGCUUGUGUUGGGGGCCUGCGGCUGCCGCAGCCCCCUAAAAGCAGUGGCGGGCUCGCUAUCACACCGAGUGCAGUAGUUCAUCUUCUCUCCGGUCUUGUGAGGCGGGUUCCGGCCGUGAAACACCCCACUACAUUUCAAGGUUGACCUCGGAUCAGGUAGGAAUACCCGCUGAACUUAAGCAUAUCAAUAAGCGGAGGA